UACGAAGGGGGCUAGCGUUGCUCGGAAUCACUGGGCGUAAAGCGCACGUAGGCGGCCUACUAAGUCAGGGGUGAAAUCCUGGAGCUCAACUCCAGAACUGCCUUUGAUACUGGUGGGCUUGAGUCCGGGAGAGGUGAGUGGAACUGCGAGUGUAGAGGUGAAAUUCGUAGAUAUCUGAAGGAACACCAGUGGCGAAGGCGGCUUUCUGGCCUAUUCUUGACGCUGAGGCGCGAAAGCUAGGGGAGCGAACGGG
rnacentral:rRNA from 1 species